AUGGUGGAGCUGGUGGGGUGGUACCUCUACGGCUUCUGCUCCUUCUUCAUCACCCACCUGCUGCUGCCGGUGCUGUUCCCGGCCAUCGUCACCCAGGUCGCCUUCCCCUCCUCCGACUUCACCCCCGAGGCCAAGUACACCGUCAAGGGCGCCUCCUGCUCCGUCCACGAGAUGUCCAUGUACCAGAGGCUGACCAAGUACACCAUUGCCAUCUCUAGCUCCCACAUGUCGCCCCUGGGCUGGAGCGCCCUCUCGUGGGCGAUCGGCAUCCUCCUCGUGGCGCCGCUCCUCACCCAGGUCGCGCACCACCUCGACCGGGGCCAGUACCAGUCGCUCAUCCUCAUCGCCGCGACGUCGUUCGGCUCCUUCUUCUGCCUGCUCACCGGCUUCUUCAAGACGGUCUGGGUGUUCCUGUUCUACAUCCUCUUCAUCGCCGCGUCCAUCAUCAUCGCCGAGGCGGUGCACACCCAGGCCAUGGCUGUGUUCCUGUCAUCCUUCGCCACAAUGUGCAUCUUCACCAGUGGCACGCUCUACGCCAUUGGCGGCGUCUGCAUCAAGCCGGUCCUGGUGCUCGCGCUGUGGAUCCUCUACUUCCUGUUCCCGCUCAUCUCGCUGCCGCUGCUCCACCCGAUCCAGAUCAUCAUCCGCGCCGACGCCGUCCGCAUGCAGCUGCUGGGGUUCAUCAUCGCCCUCUUCGUCUCCGGCGCCGGGUUCUACUUCAAGAGCCACAGGUGGAGGGCCGCCCACAUCAUCAUCAUCGCCCUCGUCCAGAGCACCGCCAACGGCAUCCUCUACUCCUUCGGCCGCAUCCUGCUGCUCGACGCCUCGCCGCCGGGCAAGGAGGGCGCGUUCGCCAUCUGGUACGCGUACGUCCGCUGCAUGGGCGCCAUGAUCGGCUUCGCCGUCGCGUCUGCCGGCCCUGGGCGCGCGGGAGGAUCCUUCGCUGCUGCGUUCCUGGGCAGCUUCCUCGGCAUCAUCGUGCUCAUCUUCGGCAAUGUCAGCAACGUCGGGGCGCUCAAGGCCGCCGGGCAUCUCAAGGGCAUGGAGGACGAGAAGAGGAUCGGCGAGAAGGGCGAGGGCAUGAGCGCCGUCGCCGACUCCGGCGAGUCCAGGGGGAGGGUAUGA
rnacentral:rRNA from 1 species